rnacentral:rRNA from 1 species
AUGCAGUGUCCCGUGGCACACUUCCACAUCACCUACCUCGGGCUGCCCAUUGCCGUCCGCAAGACCUGCUCGACAAGUUUGGAGCCGAUCUUCGACAAGCUCUGCAGCAAGUUAUCCACCUGGCACGCCUCCAUGCUCUCUCAAGGUGAUCGCCUUGCCCUCGUGCGGCAUGUCCUCUGCGCCAUCCCCACGCAUUUCCUCACGGCCAUCGCCUUCAACAAAACGGCCAUCAAGAAGGUGAAUCGGAUCAUCCAUGGAUUCCUUUUGGCGGGCCACAAGGAGGCCAACGGAGGCCAAUGCCAUGUCAACUGGCAGCGGGUGUCCCGCCCCAUCUCCCUCGACGGUCUUGCAUCCGUGACAUCUACCGCAUGGGCUUGUCUCUUCACGUUUGCUGGCUAUGGCUCCAGCGCACGGACCCCUCGCGGCCAUGGAGCCACCUCUCUGUACCUCAUGACACCGACGCGAACGCCAUCUUCCGUGCCUUCACAAGCUGUCAGCUUGGCUCGGGUGACACUUGUUGCUUCUGGACCGACCACUGGAUCAACGGCAGAUCCGUAG